rnacentral:rRNA from 1 species
UGAGAAACGGCUACCACAUCCAAGGAAGGCAGCAGGCGCGCAAAUUACCCAAUCCGGACACCGGGAGGUAGUGACAAGAAAUAGCAAUAGAGGGCCCGAUGGGUUUUCUAAUUGGAAUGAGAACAAGGUAAACAGCUUAUCGAGGAGCCAGCAGAGGGCAAGUCUGGUGCCAGCAGCCGCGGUAAUUCCAGCUCUGUAAGCGUAUACUAAAGUUGUUGCAGUUAAAACGCUCGUAGUCGGAACUUGGCGGGCGACGCAGGGCGUCUUUGCGGACGGAUCUGUAUCGGCCGCCUUUGUGGAGGGGGGCUUAGCGGUGCUUUAUUGCCUUGCUAAGUCGCUGCCACCGUUUACUGUGAAAAAAUUGGAGUGUUCAAAGCAGGCGUUUGCCUUGUACACAUUAGCAUGGAAUAAUAGAAUAGGACCUGGUUCUGUUUUGUUGGUUUGUGAGAAUUAGGUAAUGAUUAAGAGGGACGGUUGGGGGCAUUUGUAUUCUGCCGUCAG